UGGUAAAACAGUCUCAUAUUUUUACUCUGUAGUAAAUUAUACCAACAAACCUAAUCCAACACCGUUGGAAAUGCUACACAAUUAUACAGAAGUCAGCUAGCUGCUAGUCUUACGUGCUUUCAAAACCGAAAGAGUGGCCACCUUUUGAAUUCACAGGAGUUUGGAACUUCGUACCUAAGGUGCAAACCAAAUUAACUGCCAAAACGACAGGUAAGAAACUAAUAAUUCUUUUAUGUUUCUCACCAUUUCAAAUACAUUCGAAAAUUAAAAAAUAAUAUCAUAAUUCAGAAAUUUAGCAUUACGAUUGUACGAUUGAUUGAAUGCACAUCUAAUUGCAAAUGCAUAUACAGGAUGCUUGCAUAUUUAACAUGCGGUAAAUUAUUACUCGACUGUAUGUUUUGCAAGUGGAAAUUUAGACAGUAAUAUCAUAAGGGAUAUACUUUUUACAAUUUAAAUCCCCAACAAAUUAUUAACCAAUCGGUUCUUGUCCACAUACACAAAGAGUAUACGCUCACAACAAGAGGCAUUGAAGUCAACAGACCUCUUCUGUCUGGGCGCGUAUGCGUAUUUAUACAUCCCACAAAGCCAAAUGUACGCGAUCCAAAAUUUGCCUUAUUAUUCAUCUGACAAUUUAAAAUUAAAGUGACCACUUAAAUGGCAUUACAAAAAUAAAAGGCAGAGAUAGAAAUGAAAUUUUGUUAUAUAUAGGACCACGUCAAGGGUAUUAGGAGAAAGAAGAUUUUUGGAUACCACAUAAACCAGUUCUAGAGAAUAACUUGAUUGAAAAUGAGGGACGAAAGAUACCAAAGGGAUUGAUUGAAUGUUGUUUGCUUAUCGUCCAGCGACAAAUAUUUUAUGCAUGUUCAGAACGAGAGAGUACCCCUGAUGAAUUUAAAAUAGUACAGGAAGGGAUAGCUAAUUUAAAAGAGAAUGAGAGAUGCAUUUAGCGCACAGCGACAGUUGUCGGGAAUUAAAUUUAACGGGACAUAAAAUCAAAAAUGAAAAGAUUGAGGUAUCAAGUAUAUUGUCAAAAUGAUAAGCCGAUAACUGAAUGUUCGAUACUUUUAAUGAAAACAAGUUCAGUUGACUAUUAUAUGUAAUAUUGCUGAAAAAAAAAAUCUAUUUAUGUCUGUGCAUCAUUGUUGCAUUGCAUUGGUCAUUCAAUUUUAAUUUCAUUCUCAUUUUCAACGCUAUCAUAUACUAGAUAUAUGUAAUGUAAUAUACAAUAUGGAAGUAGUCUAUUCUAUAGAACUCGUCAAUCGAUAAAUCUAUAUCUAUGUCAUAAUUACCAUAAUAGUCCCAGAUGGCUAAUUGUCGUCUAACUAGUGAAGUGAAUUAUCAGAUACUAAAUACCUUUUAUUAGUUAAUUAUAAUAUAAGCAUACCUGUAAGUAAGCUUAUAGUUGAAGUGUACAUGUCGAAUUUCUAGAAUAACAACCAAAACAUUAAUAUUACAAACUCAAGUUUCAUGUAGACACAUUAAUAAAACAUAUUUACACAGCAUCAAUCUCAUUAGUAUUCGAAAAAUUUAAACGUAUAAUUGCUCCGAAAGAGUUUUUUUAACAUUAGUUGUGACAAACAGGUUUUUCAACAAUAAAACGGCAUCAACCCAAAAAGGAAAACACUGAAAAAUGCCCGAAACCCGAAAAAUGUAGACUCGUGUGUCCAUGAAUCAAUAAUAUUCUCAUUAUACAACCGAUUGCCUGUACAUGUAUAGAUGAUGCGGAAAACAUAUUUUAUUUAUUUAUUAACAGAAUGUAUUUAUUUUUCGCAGAUUAAUUAAACUAUUAGACUCUUUGCCGUUAUUAGUACAUUU
rnacentral:lncRNA from 1 species